CCAAGGUCAGAAGAAGAUGGAAGGAAGCAACAUGCCACGUUGCUUCAAUAUUUCUACAUGUUAGCCGAAAAUUUGCCAGUAAAAACGACAGCAAGGGAACUCGUUUCCCAAUAAAGAUGUUAGAGGCUAAUUCCCGCUGUUAAAAAUACCCAAUGCUGCUUCCGACUUAAAUGAUUUUAGGAGAACACUGCCAAGAUACUUUGCCAAGAUACUGCAAAAUGCACAUACGACUGAACGAAGCUGCCGUAGUCUUCCGUAUUUUGGAACAGGACACGGACUGGCACAUG